AGUCAUUAAAGAGUUGACAUCUUCAUCAGCAACUUCCUUCGCUAAAGAAGAAUUAAAAGCAAACUUGACACAGUUACGGUUUUAAAUUCUGAACAGUAAAACUGAAAAGAAAUAACUCACUCGAACCCGGGCUGGCUGUGUAUAUGAUGAAUCCUGUGAACAGAACGGCAACAAAGUGUGCAACCAUAAGGAAUAUAGAAGCAAUCACCAAAGGUGAAGACUCCGAUGACUCCGUUCCGUUGUUGGCUGCCGUAGUGUUUGUUUUGUGAUUUGUAAUAAAGAUUCGAAUGGGAGGGGUUAAAAUAUUGCAAAUCUAGCAAUUUUGCAUGACGAAGUAGAAA